AGGCCAUAUAGUGAGCCAAUGUUUGGUUGGUUAUGUCCAAGCUUAGUAUGAGAUCACAGUUGCGUACAAAACCAAAAGGAGGUGAAAGCAUAUCUCAAGGAUUCUUUGCAAGCAUGUUCUCGUCUUGGAUAUAAGAUCAUUCUUUUUCCUUACAUUGAAUCUGUGAUGAAGGGGGUUAUUGCAUCUGGACUUCGACAACCAAAACCUCCUGUUUGGUAUUUAGUCGAGUGUCCGGUACAAGUAGGUGGGCGUGCGUGUGGGUAUUACGUCAUGAGGUUCAUGCUCGAUAUCGUCAACCAUUGCAAAGAUGUUGGUGAUCUUCGAAAUGU